rfam:Myotis davidii contig152235, whole genome shotgun sequence.
AGUGGUUCUCAGGUGACGCACCCCGGAAUUGGCCUCCCUCCUCUCUGGUUCUGGGGUGCAUCACCAGAAAACUGCC